rnacentral:tRNA from 2 species
GCCGGUGUAGCUCAGUGGUAGAGCAGCUGUUUCGUAAACAGCAGGUCGCGGGUUCAAUUCCCAUCACCGGCUCCA